ACAUCCAGAGAAUUUAGCAGAGAUGCUUUAGUGCCUUCGGGAACUCUGAGACAGGUGCUGCAUGGCUGUCGUCAGCUCGUGUUGUGAAAUGUUGGGUUAAGUCCCGCAACGAGCGCAACCCUUUAUCCUUUGUUGCCAGCACGUAAUGGUGGGAACUCAAAGGAGACUGCCGGUGAUAAACCGGAGGAAGGUGGGGAUGACGUCAAGUCAUCAUGGCCCUUACGAGUAGGGCUACACACGUGCUACAAUGGCGCAUACAAAGAGAAGCGACCUCGCGAGAGCAAGCGGACCUCAUAAAGUGCGUCGUAGUCCGGAUUGGAGUCUGCAACUCGACUCCAUGAAGUCGGAAUCGCUAGUAAUCGUAAAUCAGAAUGUUACGGUGAAUACGUUCCCGGGCCUUGUACACACCGCCCGUCACACCAUGGGAGUGGGUUGCAAAAGAAGUAGAUAGCUUAACCUUCGGGAGGGCGUUUACCACUUUGUGAUUCAUGACUGGGGUGAAGUCGUAACAAGGUAGGCGUAGUGCU
rnacentral:rRNA from 1 species